rnacentral:rRNA from 1 species
AUGGCCAUGGCCACCGUGAGGGAGCACGUCCUGCUCAGCCAGCCCGGCAAGCAGGUCCUGCUCGCCGAGAUCCCGGCGUCAGCCUCGCGCGACUCGCAGCCGGCGGUCACGCUCCGGCUGCUCGUUGAGCAGUGCAGCGACUACGGUGCCGGCCCCGCGGACGUCGACACGGUGGAGGACGUGGCCUGCCGCGUGCCGCUCGCCGACCUGGUUCGCCAGGGGGCGGCGGAGCGGGCGUUCAAGGAGCUGGUGGCCCGGAUCGACAACCCGGCGCUGCGCCCGGAGGUCGCGGCGGAGACCGCGGCGGCCGCGGUGCGCGUCCGGGCGAGGUGCGGGGCCGACGACCGCGACGGGCUCCGCGGCGUGGAGUUCCGCCUCCGCGUCACGUUCAUCGACGACGCGUCCAGGGAAGAGGAGGAGGCGGACCACGACGACGACGAGUGCGGGAGCGACAUGGAGUUCGGGGAGUUCGAUCUGAGCGGCGCGCGGAGCCUGCGCGGCCAGCAGACCGACGCCAGCUACGACUACGAGGAGGAGGACGACGACGAGGACGGCUGCGGCGCCCAGUUCACGGUGCGCCCCUACCGCGGCGCCCUCGCGCGAGGGGCGCCGUCGUCCAUGCUGCUGUCUGGCUUCGAGGCGCGCUCCGACGGGCCCGAGCUCACGGAGGAGCACGAGGUGACGUCGUACGACAUACAGCGCGUCGUGCGCAAGGCGCUGGGCGGCGGCGGGAGCGUGGAGGACGACGAGGCAUACCUGCGCGCGCUGGACGGCGGCACGCCCGUGUCGCCGGCGUCGCGCGCCGCCAUGGUCGGCCAGGCGCUGCAGUCCGCGAGGCAGCAGCAGCAGCAGCAGCGGUCGAAGUCGCCACGCCCAAUCUUCCCGAUGCGUACCGGAUUCUGA